AACUUCUGCGUGCCAUGGGCAUGGCCAAAAAGGAGACAAUCUGCUUUGUAAUCUGACAUCAUGCCAAAAUGAAAGGAGAAAUGUCAGAAUCCACGGGAACCUUAGAAAUUUUUAGUCCACCCAUCUCCCGCUUGAGAUGAAGACCCAGGGAGGUUGAAAGUGCUGUACAAGCUCGUUGUCACACUGCAGGCGAUGGAGCGGGAUCAGACCGCGGGGCUGCUGACUUCGCUGGUUCUUCUGUUCACUCCAGACAGGUGUAUCUGGUGCCUUCUCACUCCCCACAUCCCAUGCAGCAGAGAUUCCUGCUAGCCGCUCAUUCAGAACACACCUGGAAUCUGCCCCCCUUCUCGGCACCCCUGUCUCGCCCCGAGUCCCUCCCUGGCUUGCUGCCGUAGCUUUCCAGCCGGUCUCCCACUCCAUCCUUGUCCCUGUGAUGGCCACUCUUCACACAGCAGUCAGCCUUUAAAAACAGGUCAGGGAGUUCCCGUUGUGGCUCAGUGGUAAUGAACCUGACUAGUAUCCAUGAGGAGGCAGGUUCGAUCCCUGGCCCUGUUCAGUGGGUUAAGGAUCCGUCAUUGCCAAGAGCUGUGGUGUAGGUUGCAGAUGUGGCUAGGAUCCUGCAUUGCUGUGGCUGUGGUGUAGGCUGGCAGCUGCAGCUCUGAUUUGACCCCUAGCCUGUGAAAUUUCAUAUGCAGUCCUAAAGAGCAAAAAACAAAAACAGGUGAGGCUUGGAGUUUCUGCUGUCAUGCAAUGAGUUAAAGAUGUGGCAUUGUCUCUGCAGUGGCUUGGAUUGCUGCUGAGGUGCAGGCUUAUUCCCUGGCUCUGCACGGUGGGUUAGGGAUCCCGUGUCACUGUAGCUGUGGCAUAGGUCCCAGCUGCCACUUGGAUUCAAUCCCUGGCUUGGGAACCAACCAACCAACAAAACAAACAAACAAACACCAGGUCAGACUUUAUCCUUCUUCAGCUCAAACCUUCCAGAAAAAAAUCCCGUGUCCUCCCUGAGGUCGUGAAGGUCAACCACGUCUUGGUCCUUUGUCUUCCCUGAUGUCGUCCAUCUUACUGUCCUUCUAGACUCUGCUCCGUUGCCCUGGCCUCUUGGCUGUUCCUCAGCUCCCCGCACUCACUCUGCUCAAGGCUUUGCAUGCACUUGUUUCCCCCUUCUAGAAGGCCGCUCCCCCAGAGGGCUCACUUCUGCUCAGUGCUUUUCACAUGUCCCAAGCUCCCAUUUUCCAAGAACACUUUGACUUUGUCAUUCUUUUCUACUAAAUUUUCAUUAGAAAAAUGUGUGCAGUGGCUUCAUGUGGGAUCUCAGUUCCCAAACCAAGGGUUGAACCCAGGCAGUAGCAGUGAAAGCACCAAAUCCUUACCACUAGGCCACCAGGGAACUCCGGCGCUGUAUGUUUUCAAUGUGUGCACAGGCGCUUGGCGCCCGGGUCUCCUUUGUUCCCAGGUACUGUUAGGACACUAACGCUGUUAGGAGAUUUGCAAUGAGUAGUUCUUGGGUAAACAAAGAAAUGAAUAACAUGAAUGAUGAGAUGAACAAGUUAUAGUAUCUAUAUUGGGGUUAUAAGAACAUUGUCUUUAAAAGUCAGUUGUUGGCCAGGUCUCUUCCCCAACAGCGUUCCAUCUGGCUGUGCACUUGUCUGGUCCACACAGCACCCUCCGUGCCCUUUGCCAGGGUGGAGCCUCACUCAGGGAACCGGAGGACCCUGGGGUCCUGCCUUUCAGUCUUUCAGUGAAGGGGUGGGGACAAGGUCGCUCAGUCAGAGCUUCAGGAUCACAGGUUUGCCAAGUCGUAGAGGUCCUGCUCCCCCAGAGCUCUUGGGGCUGGGAAGAAAUCAUUCACAUGGAUGAAGAACUUUUUUUCUUUUUUUAAUUUAGAAUUUCAGCAGCUCUCUCAGUCAGAGAUGACAUAUGCAGUGUUUGAGCAUUGGUCUUCUGUUUGCUCUUCUGUAUUUUGGCCAGAAGGAGAGAGGGCAGGUUCCCCUAAGUUGUCCAUCUUACUGUCCUUCUACUGUCUCCUUGUAGUGAGAAAAAAGGUUGAAAUUCCUGCUCAAAAUCAACUUCCUUGGGUUUUCCUUCCCUUCCCUUUCCUGUGGUUAUGGGGUUGGGGGUGGACUGGAGACCUGGGCAAAAUGGGAGACUUCCAGGUUAAGGUGUGUGUACUGGUUGGGGACAUUUGUUUUAAAAGUUUGGGAAACACUUAAGGACCGGGAGGUGGUUUUUGUUUGUUUGUUUGUUUGUUUUUUCAAACGAUCAGUUAGCGUUCCUGUUGUGGCUCAGCAGGUUAAGAACCUGACUAGUACACAUGAGGAUUUGGGUUCAAUCCCUGGGCCUGCUCAGUGGGUUAAGGAUCUAGCGUUGCUGUGAGCCGUGGUGUGGGUCACAGAUGAGGCUCAGAUCCUGCGUGGCUGUGGCUGUGGCGUAGGCUGGCAGCUGUAGCUCCAGUUUGACCCCUAGCCUGGGAACUUCCAUAUGCUGCUGGUGCAGCCCUAAUAAAUUAAAAAAAAAAAAAGAUCAGCAUGAGAUAAGGGAAAUUGAGGGGAUAGGUGAGGUGAGGAGAUGGGGAACUAGCUCAGAGUAAAAGCACUUAUUGCAGCUGAAGGAGGUUGGGCCAGGUGUCACACAGAGAGGCCGGGUGACAGCUCCGCAGGGCAGAUGAGCAGCAGCUGCAUCGCAAAGAACAGCCGGCCUGCUCUCCUCUCGGGGGCCUAGAUGUCUGGGGGCAGGAGAUGACUUGAGGUGACUGUUUGGCUUUUAUACCCAUUCAUUCUGGGUUAGUCCACUAUAUUUCAGGGUCAGCCGUCCUUAACUCAUUUGGGUGGCAACUGAUCUAACACACUGGCAGCUGCCUGGAAGAUUCUAUGGUAUGUCCAGCCCCUUCCCUGACAGCAGAAGCAGCUGGGAAAGUUUGGAGAAUGGUGCUAACCUCUAUCUCCUGCCCUCGGCUUUGCCGCAUAAACACUUCCUGUAAUGCUCUGCCGUGUGGACCUUCCCUGCUCGAUAGAAUGCAAGCGAGCCGGGCCCUCUCCGCAAACCUCCAUCCUGAUUGAAAGACGAGUGAGCCUCGUCCCCGCCAUCUCGGGCAGCUUCCCCAGCCCCACAACGUGAGCACAGGGUAAUGAUGUCCAAUUUUGCACACUUCAGAUCCAUUAGUAGCAAUUACCUUUCUCGAGGUGUUUUGAGUUCGUUUUAACGUAGCAUUCUUACGGUUGGCGGAUAAUGACAGUAAUAUUGUACACAACAUUUUCAAGUCGCUGUUUUUAGCUACAGUAACACCAUUAGUAGGUCUAUUUAACAGAUGCAUUUCAGGCGAAAAGUUAAGGUGGUUCUCGUGGUUUCUUUCCCUUCCCCCCAUGCAAACCGUCACUGCUGUUUCAUUCAAUGGAGAUUUUUACUCCAGUUUUUCCGAGAUAGUUUUCCUAGUUUGGGUCUUCCUAUUAAAACGGGAUGCUUGUGGGACUGCUUUGAUCUAGAAUUAUUCAUUGUUCUUAGCUGUUCUUAUGUAACUGUUCUUUUCAUGAUAUGCAAACUGACCCAGAAAUCCAAACCUCACAAUAAUGGGAAAAGCAUGUGUUUUUUCUAGAGCUCACGUGGGAAGCCUGGUGGGAGAGAUCGUUGGGUGCCUCAAGGCAGAGGGGGGACCACUGAGCUGCCCCGGGGAGAAAUUGCUCUGAAGGGGCUGUCAACCUGCCCUCCCGAGUUGUGUCGUUAUUUAGUUUCCAUUUGGUAGCUGGUCAUCAUGUGUCUCACAUCCUGCACUGGAUUCCUCGGCUGCCCUAACAAAGGCACACCAACCGAGUGGCCUAAAACAAGACGUUUAUUCUGGAGCCUAGAAAUCUGAGAGUAGGCACUUGGCAGGAUCCCUCUGAAGCUCGGCAAGAGGAUCCCUCCGCGCCUCUUCCGGGCUUCGUGGAUUCUGGUGGCAUAAUUCCAACCUCUGCCCCUGCCUUGUCCUCACGGGUCUUCUCCUCAUUUGUCUCUGUCUCUUUACAUGACCUUCUUUCUUUCUUUUUUCUUUAUUAUUAUUAUUAUUACUAUUAUUAUUUUUGGCCUCCAGAGGCCUAUGGAGAUCGGAGCUGCAGUUAUGACCUAUAACGCAGCUGCGGCAAUGCUGCACACUUUAACCCACUGCUCCGGGCUGGGAAUCGAACCUGUGUCCUUGUGCUGCAGAGAUGCCACCGAUCUCCUUGCACCACAGGGGGAAUUCCCACAUGACUUCCUUUCUUUCUUUCUUUUUUUAAAUUUUUAAUUUUUUUUUUUUUUUGUCUUUUUAUGGCGGCACCUGUGGCAUAUGAAGGUUCCCAGGCUAGGGAUUGAAUCCAAGCUAUAGCCGCUGGCCUACACCCCAGCCAUAACAACCCCGUAUCUGAGCCAUGUCUGUGACCUACACCACAGCUCAUGGCAACGCCAGAUCCUUGACCCACUGAGUGAGGGCAGGGAUCGAACCUGCGUCCUCAUGGAUACUAGUCGGGUUCAUUUCUGCUGAGCCAUGACAGGAACUCCAUGACCUUCUUUCUUAUAAGGACAUCAGUCCUGUUGAAUCAGGGGCCCACCCCCAUGACCUCACCUUAACCUGCUUACAUGUGUAAAGACCCUAUUUCCAAAUCAGGUCACAGUCACAGGUAACAGGGGUUGGGAUUUCAACACUUUUGUUCAGGGGACAUGAUUAACUCAUGACAUCCCUCGAGAGGGCAUUAUACACGGUAGCCAGUAGGCAGAAGCAUGAAACCCUUAACACCCCUCAUGGAAACUUCUUGAAACCUAGAGUAUUUGCUAUACUCCCUGAAGCAGUGUUUCCUAAACCCUUGACUAUGAAACAGGAAUCUGUAUUUCUUGGUUUAAAGAGUGUCCUGUUGUCAAACAUGCUAGAGGUGCACAGUGUCCCAGAUUUGGGGACUUUGGCUACCUCUUAGCGUAUUAAAGGGGCUGAGAAAUCUUGCUGUAAAGACACUUUCCGGUUCCCACUGUGGCACAGUGGGUUAAGGACCUGGUGUUGCUGCAGCUGUGGGUAUGGCAUAGGUCACAGCCGUGGCUCGGAUUUGAUUCCCAGUCUGGGAACUUCCACAUGCUCUGGGUGCUACCGCAAAAGAAAAAUAAAAAGACACUUGCUUAAGUCAAACUUACUUUCACUAGCUGUUUUGACCACAGGGACUUUUUUCCCCCCUCCCAGUUUCCUCCGUUAACUGCAGUGGAAACUAUUUGGGGGAAAUAGAGGCCCAUCGAAUGUUCUUUCUGUCACAUGAAUUGCCCCAAAUGAGGUAAGCUGUGUAUUACAGCAUUCGGUUGAGUAAUUUUUUUGUAUAACAUGAAAUGGGCACUGAAGAAUAGGAACAAUAUUUAAAGACUCAAUUCUGAGUGAUGCUCAAAUUUGGUUAAGAGUCACGGAUAACUAGGCAGAACGGCUGCAAGUCACCCUCGGGCUCAGUCUACUCACCUGACCUCUGUAUGGUGUGUUUCUGCACUUGAAAUUGGGACAUGCAUAGACCUUAAAAACGUACAGCACAUAAUUACUAUUUGAGCCCAGUAAUUCAACCAGGAAAAUCGAUGAAGUCAGUGAGUCCUUAUGCUAUUCUGUGCUUUCAAUCACAAUGAUUUUAAGUGAUGUGAUGAAAUGGUGAGCAGCCUGGGGAAAACGUGAUUUUCUGCUUAUAUUUAAAGGAUCAUAAUGACGAUAAUUUUCCAACAACAACAACAAAAUCAUCUUUUCGACCCUCUCAUCACCAUGUGAGUUCUUUAUGCUUCUUUUUGGAAAAAGUUUAAUCAGGUGAGCAUUCCAGCAAACUUCUAAGAUGGUUGUUUCUUUUCCCUCUCUGCCAGUUGGUAAGAUACGAGGGAGGGAAUAACAAAUCCAUUUUGGUAGUAGCCUGGGCAAAAUCUCAUUAGGAAGGUCAGGCUCCUAGUGAAAAUGUCACACAUUAUAUUGCAAAGCCAAGUAAAAAUGAUUUUGGAAUCAUGGGUGUGCCCUGGAUUAAGAUGAAGCUGGUGUAUUUAUUGCAAAUAGACACUUUAGAGGGGUCGUUCAUAAAGAGCAUUGUUUAUUUUUUAAAUUUUUUUUUUUUUAAGGUCGCACCUGUGGCAUAUGGAAGUUCCCAGGCUAGGGGUCGAAUCGGAGCUGCAGCUGAGGCCUGUGCCCCAGCGAUGCUGCAGCUUAUGGCAACGCUGCAUCUUUAACUCACUGAGAAAGGCCAGGGAUUGAACCCAAAUCCUCAUGGACACCAUGUCAGGUUCUUAAACUGCUAAGCCACAAUGGGAACUCCACAUUGUUUGCUUUUUAAAUUAUUCAAUUUGAGAUUCACUGCAAGUUCCCUUUAAAUAGUAAAUACUCCUGGUGUAUUACAGUUAAGAUUUAAUUUACAAAUAUCUGAUUACCAUAUCACUUUUUGGAUCAUAUUAGAUUUAUAGUGUUGAAGAGCAUGGGCUUUGAAGUCAGACGGACUUGUGUUCAAAUCCUAACUGACUUUACUCCCUACUCCUGUGAGCUUGUGCAGAUGCUGUACUCUGUGAGCUUUGGUUUUCUUAUCUGUAAAAUGGGAGUAACAACACCUGCCUGGGAUGGUUAUGGUAGGCACUCUGUUAGGUGAUAUACUUAAAACCAUUCCUGGUAUGUGAAGGGUUUAGCUUAAUGCCCAGUGUACCUUCGUAUGAUGUACAUAAAGUCUUAGUUCAUUGCUCAGUAAAUGUAGCUGCUGUUAUUAUCUGCAACUGUAAGGUUGCAGAUAAUGCUUAUAAGAGCAUUUACAGUUUUCAUCGUUUAAGAAAUACUUACUGAGUGUCAGGAGUUCCCGUCGUGGCGCAGUGGUUAAUGAAUCCGACUGGGAACCAUGAGGUUGCGGUUUCCAUCCCUGGCCUCGCUCAGUGGGUUAAGGAUCUGGCAUUGCCGGAGUUCCCGUCGUGGCGCAGUGGUUAAUGAAUCCGACUGGGAACCAUGAGGUUGCGGGUUCAGUCCCUGCCCUUGCUCAGUGGGUUAACGAUCCGCGUUGCCGUGAGCUGUGGUGUAGGUUGCAGACACGGUUCGGAUCCCGCGUUGCUGUGGCUCUGACGUAGGCAGGUGGCUACAGCUCUGAUUAGACCCCUAGCCUGGGAACCUCCAUAUGCCGCGGGAGCGGCCCAAGAAAUAGCAAAAAGA
rnacentral:lncRNA from 1 species